UACGAAGGGGGCGAGCGUUGUUCGGAAUUACUGGGCGUAAAGGGCGCGUAGGCGGUGUGUCAAGUCAGGCGUGAAAGCCCCGGGCUCAACCUGGGAACCGCGCUUGAGACUGGCGACGCUCGAGUCCGGGAGAGGAUGGUGGAAUUCCUGGUGUAGCGGUGAAAUGCGCAGAUAUCGAGGAAGAACACCCGUGGCGAAGGCGGCUCUCUGGGACGG
rnacentral:rRNA from 1 species